GAGGGUAUAGCUCAGUGGUAGAGCACGUGCUUAGCAUGCAUGGGUCUUGGGUUCAAUCCCCUGUACCUCCA
rnacentral:tRNA from 1 species